rnacentral:tRNA from 1 species
GCGGGUGCAGGCAGUGCCGCUGCUGCCGGUUAUGGUCCGUUGCAUGUCGGUACUGAUAUUGGUGGUUCGGUCCGUCUACCUGCU